GUGGGGAAUUUUGGACAAUGGGCGCAAGCCUGAUCCAGCCAUUCCGCGUGCAGGAUGAAGGCCUUCGGGUUGUAAACUGCUUUUGUACGGAACGAAAAGCCUCUGGUUAAUACCCGGGGGUCAUGACGGUACCGUAAGAAUAAGCACCGGCUAACUACGUGCCAGCAGCCGCGGUAAUACGUAGGGUGCGAGCGUUAAUCGGAAUUACUGGGCGUAAAGCGUGCGCAGGCGGUGAUGUAAGACAGUUGUGAAAUCCCCGGGCUCAACGUGGGAACUGCUGCUGUGACUGCAUUGCUGGAGUGCGGCAGAGGGGGAUGGAAUUUCGCGUGUAGCAGUGAAAUGCGUAGAUAUGCGGAGGAACACCGAUGGCGAAGGCAAUCCCCUGGGCCUGCACUGACGCUCAUGCACGAAAGCGUGGGGAGCAAACAGGAUUAGAUACCCUGGUAGUCC
rnacentral:rRNA from 1 species